rnacentral:rRNA from 1 species
CCUACGGGAGGCAGCAGUGAGGAAUAUUGGUCAAUGGCCGCAGGGCUGAACCAGCCAAGUCGCGUGAGGGAUGACGGUCCUAUGGAUUGUAAACCUCUUUUGUCAGGGAGCAAAGGGCGCCACGUGUGGCGCUUUGCGAGUACCUGAAGAAAAAGCAUCGGCUAACUCCGUUCCAGCAGCCGCGGUAAUACGGGGGAUGCGAGCGUUAUCCGGAUUUAUGGGGUUUAAAGGGUGCGGAGGGGGAAUGUAAAGUCAGCGGGAAAAGUUCGGGGCCCAACCCCGUCGUGCCGUUGAAACUGGCAGUCGUGAGUGGGCGAGAAGGAAGGGGAAUGGGUGGUGUAGGGGUGAAA